rnacentral:rRNA from 1 species
UACGAGUGCCCCAAGCGUUAUCCGGAAUUAUUGGGCGUAAAGAGCGUGUAGGCGGCUUGGUAAGUCCGCUGUGAAAGUCCAGGGCUCAACCCUGGAAUGCCGGUGGAAACUGUCAAGCUUGAGUCCGGAAGAGGCGAGUGGAAUUCCUGGUGUAGCGGUGAAAUGCGCAGAUAUCAGGAGGAACACCAAUGGCGAAGGCAGCUCGCUGGGACGGUACUGACGCUGAGACGCGAAAGCGUGGGGAGCAAACAGG